rnacentral:rRNA from 1 species
UGGGGAAUUUUGGACAAUGGGGGAAACCCUGAUCCAGCCAUCCCGCGUGUGCGAUGAAGGCCUUCGGGUUGUAAAGCACUUUUGGCAGGAAAGAAACGUCAUGGGUUAAUACCCCGUGAAACUGACGGUACCUGCAGAAUAAGCACCGGCUAACUACGUGCCAGCAGCCGCGGUAAUACGUAGGGUGCAAGCGUUAAUCGGAAUUACUGGGCGUAAAGCGUGCGCAGGCGGUUCGGAAAGAAAGAUGUGAAAUCCCAGAGCUCAACUUUGGAACUGCAUUUUUAACUACCGGGCUAGAGUGUGUCAGAGGGAGGUGGAAUUCCGCGUGUAGCAGUGAAAUGCGUAGAUAUGCGGAGGAACACCGAUGGCGAAGGCAGCCUCCUGUGAUAACACUGACGCUCAUGCACGAAAGCGUGGGGAGCAAACAGG